rnacentral:rRNA from 1 species
GAUGAACGCUGCCCUUAAGCCUAAUACAUGCAAGUCGAGCGAACAGAUAAGGAGCUUGCUCCUUUGAAGUUAGCGGCGGACGGGUGAGUAACACGUGGGUAACCUACCUAUAAGACUGGGAUAACUUCGGGAAACCGGAGCUAAUACCGGAUAACAUUUAGAACCGCAUGGUUCUAAAGUGAAAGAUGGUUUUGCUAUCACUUAUAGAUGGACCCGCGCCGUAUUAGCUAGUUGGUAAGGUAACGGCUUACCAAGGCGACGAUACGUAGCCGACCUGAGAGGGUGAUCGGCCACACUGGAACUGAGACACGGUCCAGACUCCUACGGGAGGCAGCAGUAGGGAAUCUUCCGCAAUGGGCGAAAGCCUGACGGAGCACCGCCGCGUGAGUGAUGGAGGGUUUCGGCUCGUAAAACUCUGUUAUUAGGGAAGAACAAAUGUGUAAGUAACUGUGCACAUCUUGACGGUACCUAAUCAGAAAGCCACGGCUAACUUCCUUGCAGCAGCCGCGGUAAUACGUUAGGUGGCCAGCGUUUAUCCGGAAUUAUUGGGCGUAAAGCGCGCGUAGGCGGUUUCUUAGUCUGAUGUGAAAGCCCACGGCUCAACCGUGGAGGGUCAUUGGAAACUGGGAAACUUGAGUGCAGAAGAGGAAAGUGGAAUUCCAUGUGUAGCGGUGAAAUGCGCAGAGAUAUGGAGGAACACCAGUGGCGAAGGCGACUUUCUGGUCUGUAACUGACGCUGAUGUGCGAAAGCGUGGGGAUCAAACAGGAUUAGAUACCCUGGUAGUCCACGCCGUAAACGAUGAGUGCUAAGUGUUAGGGGGUUUCCGCCCCUUAGUGCUGCAGCUAACGCAUUAAGCACUCCGCCUGGGGAGUACGACCGCAAGGUUGAAACUCAAAGGAAUUGACGGGGACCCGCACAAGCGGUGGAGCAUGUGGUUUAAUUCGAAGCAACGCGAAGAACCUUACCAAAUCUUGACAUCCUUUGAAAACUCUAGAGAUAGAGCCUUCCCCUUCGGGGGACAAAGUGACAGGUGGUGCAUGGUUGUCGUCAGCUCGUGUCGUGAGAUGUUGGGUUAAGUCCCGCAACGAGCGCAACCCUUAAGCUUAGUUGCCAUCAUUAAGUUGGGCACUCUAGGUUGACUGCCGGUGACAAACCGGAGGAAGGUGGGGAUGACGUCAAAUCAUCAUGCCCCUUAUGAUUUGGGCUACACACGUGCUACAAUGGACAAUACAAAGGGCAGCUAAACCGCGAGGUCAUGCAAAUCCCAUAAAGUUGUUCUCAGUUCGGAUUGUAGUCUGCAACUCGACUACAUGAAGCUGGAAUCGCUAGUAAUCGUAGAUCAGCAUGCUACGGUGAAUACGUUCCCGGGUCU